rnacentral:rRNA from 1 species
GACGAACGCUGGCGGCGUGCUUAACACAUGCAAGUCGAACGAUGAUGCCCAGCUUGCUGGGCGGAUUAGUGGCGAACGGGUGAGUAAUACGUGAGUAACCUGCCCUUGACUCUGGGAUAACUGCGGGAAACUGUAGCUAAUACCGGAUACGACACCUUGGGGCAUCCCAGGGUGUGGAAAGAAUUUCGGUCAAGGAUGAGCUCGCGGCCUAUCAGCUAGUUGGUGAGGUAAUGGCUCACCAAGGUGACGACGGGUAGCCGGCCUGAGAGGGUGACCGGCCACACUGGAACUGAGACACGGUCCAGACUCCUACGGGAGGCAGCAGUGGGGAAUAUUGCACAAUGGGCGAAAGCCUGAUGCAGCAACGCCGCGUGAGGGAUGAAGGCCUUCGGGUUGUAAACCUCUUUUAGCAGGGAAGAAGCGAAAGUGACGGUACCUGCAGAAAAAGCACCGGCUAACUACGUGCCAGCAGCCGCCGUAAAAC